rnacentral:rRNA from 1 species
UACGAAGGGUGCAAACGUUGCUCGGAAUUAUUGGGCGUAAAGCGCACGUAGGCGGCUUUGCAAGUCGGAUGUGAAAGCCCUGGGCUCAACCUAGGAAGUGCAUUCGAAACUUCCAAGCUGGAGUGCUGGAGAGGAAGGCGGAAUUCUCGGUGUAGAGGUGAAAUUCGUAGAUAUCGAGAGGAACACCGGUGGCGAAGGCGGCCUUCUGGACAGUAACUGACGCUGAGACGCGAAAGCGUGGGGAGCAAACAGG